AUGACUUUAGGGUCUUUUUAGUACUUUUUACAACCCUAAGUGAGGUUGUUGAAUUUUCCAAAACCCUAAAAGGGAUAGGUUUAGGGUAUGACUUUAGGGUGUUUUUUUCACUUGUUUAAACCCUAACUUGGGUUGUUGAGUGUUGACGAUGUGCUAGAAGGGGGAAAGCUGUUUCAUUGCAAGACGUGUGUUAAUCACCGAAAUAUAGACGUUAUCUAUUAUUGGGGAAGCCUGGGAGUGGAUGAACAAACAAUGAAGGGUGAGAUGAAACAAAGAACGCAGCUCACAUGUAGAACAAUACGCAUUGUUCACCAUAAUUCAUGCUUUUUUUGUUUUCCUUAUUUAAUCCAAUCCCAAGCCUCGUUCUACCAUUGGACACCGACCCAGUUCGUAAUAAAGCGUACGUAUACUCUGGACAUGACCUCUUUUCAGUUGGAUUGCAAGCCGUUGACGUUAUCAAGAACAGGGGAAAGCGGUUAGGGUUAGUGCUUUUAUUGAUUUUUUCAUAGUUUAUCAUAAAGCCUGUACUCUAAACCACAUCUCAUAGCAGUUGGAAUGAAGGUUUUCGAGUAUUCAAUGCUAGAUAUAGACUAUAUCUAUAACAGGGGAAUGAGGUAAGCCUUUACUUUUAUCUAGUUAUUUUAAGUUCAUGGCAUUUUUAUUGAGUUAUUCAUAGGUUAUCAUAAAACCGUGUGCUCUAAUCAACUACUACGUAGAAGUUUGAGCGACCGUCGUUGAAUAAUAAAUGAAUUAGAGGCGUUAUUCAAAACAGGGGAAAGCGGUAGGGUGAUACUGUUAUUGAUUUAUAAAGGCUUUGUGAUAAAGCCUGUACUCUGGACACUACUACGUAUAAGUUUGAACGACGGUCGUUGAAUAAUAAAUGAAUUAGAGACGUUAUUCAAAACAGGGGAAAGCGGUAACGUGAAACUUUUAUUGCUUUAUUCAUAGCUCAUCAUACAGCUUGUGCUCUGGACACUUCUACGUAGCAGUAUGAUCGACAGUCGUGUGAAAAAUAAAUGUAUUACGGACGUUAUUCAAAACUGGGGAAAGCGAUAGUACUCUACACACUGAAUGAUGACAGAAAACUAAUGAAAGACUUUGUUUGGUAUUGAUGAAGUGCUAUGCUGGUAGUCCCAAAUAGAUAGCAUUGGGCAUAUUGCAUUCCUAUUGUAUUUUAUUUCAUAUUAUAUGUUUGUCAUUUAUAGCUGUUUUUAUCAUUAAUAGCAUAAGCCUACCCAAACCCUCACCCUAACCCUAACCCUUGAUGUAGGGAUGAAAUAAAUUUCAUUGGCAUUCAUUCACAUUGUAUAUUGUGUUAUUGACAUUGAUAAGGCAUAAGCGUACCCAAACUCUCACCCUAACCCUAACCCUUGCUGUAUUAUUGAUGAAAAAAAUCAUUGACAUUCAUUCACAUGGUAUAUUGUGUUAUUGAGAUUGAUAUAGCAUAACCUAUAACCUAUAACCACUAUUGUUGUAUAUACAUGUUGUAUUUUAUUUUAGAUUCACAUUGAUCUCAUAUCUCAUAUAGAUAGUACUCUACACACUGGAUCAUGACUGAAUAGCAAUGGAAGACAUUGUUUAUUAUUAUUAUCAUUAUUAUUAUUAUUAUGAAUAUUAUUAUUAUUAUUAUUAUGAAUAUUGUUGUUGUUGUUGUUGUUAUUGUUAUACAAUCAAAUAAGUUGGAGAUGCCAAAUCCAAUCCCUCACCCUCACGCUAACCCCUGUUGUAUGGAAURGUCGUUCAGUCACAUGGUAUUGUAUUGGAUCUUAUAUUGACAUUGAUGUAAUAUAGCAUAAGCCAACCCUAAUCCUCACCCUCACCCUAACCGGUUGUUGUAGGAAUGAAAAAAAGAUCAUUUGCAUUCCUUCACAUGGUAUUUUUAUCUUACAUCUCAUAGAUAGUACUGUAGACACUGAAUGAUGACAGAAAACUAAUGGAAGAAUUUGUUUAUUAUUAUUAUUUUUAUUAAUAUUACUAUUAUGACCUCAAAUUAGUUUGAGAUGCUAAAUGCAAUCCCUCAUCCCUGUUGUAUGCAUGGGAUAGUCCCCAAUAAAUAUCAUUCACAUUCAC